rnacentral:rRNA from 1 species
AAUCAACGCUGGCGGCGUGCCUCAGACAUGCAAGUCGAACGAUUAAACUUUCCUUCGGGAAAGAUAUAAAGUGGCGCACGGGUGAGUAACACGUAAGUAAUCUACCUUCGAGUGGGGAAUAACGUUCGGAAACGAACGCUAAUACCGCAUAAUGCAGCGGCACCUAAUGGUGACAGUUGUUAAAGGAGCAAUUCGCUGAAGAGGAGCUUGCGGCAGAUUAGCUAGNGGUUAAGGUAACGGCUUACCAAGGCUACGAUCUGUAACCGGUCUAAGAGGACGGUCGGUCACACUGACACUGAAUAACGGGUCAGACUCCUACGGGAGGCA